rnacentral:rRNA from 1 species
UACGUAGGGGGCAAGCGUUGUCCGGAAUUAUUGGGCGUAAAGAGCGUGUAGGCGGCCAGAUAAGUCCGCUGUGAAAUCUCGAGGCUUAACUUCGAGCUGUCGGUGGAAACUAUCUGGCUAGAGUCCGGAAGAGGAGAAUGGAAUUCCUGGUGUAGCGGUGAAAUGCGCAGAUAUCAGGAAGAACACCCGUGGCGAAGGCGGUUCUCUGGGACGGUACUGACGCUGAGACGCGAAAGCGUGGGGAGCGAACAGG